rnacentral:misc_RNA from 1 species
AAGUCGUAACAAGGUUUCCGUAGGUGAACCUGCGGAAGGAUCAUUAUCGAAUUCAAUCCAGCUUUUCUGGCUGUGCAUUUACUUGCACGCCGGGCAAGUUGGCUCUCGAAUUUACACACCUGUGCACUUUCGUUUGCUUUUCCGCUCAUGCACUCGUGCGUGAUGUUUGUCCACUCCUCGGAGUGGGAUUGAUGCGCUGCAGUGAACUUUUGUUCAUAGCUCGCGUCUGGAAAAGCAUUCGCUUUUUUACACCUUUUUUGUAUGUCUUUGAAAAUAAAUCAAUUGCUCUGUGAUGGGGUGAUUGUUAAAAAUAAAUACAACUUUCAGCAACGGAUCUCUUGGCUCUC